rnacentral:rRNA from 1 species
GAAAUGCGAUAGUAAUGCGAAUUGCAGAAUUCAGUGAGUCAUCGAAUCUUUGAACGCACAUUGCGCCCUGUGGUAUUCCGCAGGGCAUGCCUGUUCGAGCGUCAUUUCAACCCUCAAGCUCUGCUUGGUGUUGGGCCCCGCCCGSUCGCGGCCGGCCCUAAAGACAGUGGCGGCAGCGCCUGGCUCCAAGCGUAGUACAGCUCUCGCUCUGGGGCUAGGCGGUAGCCUGCCAGAACCCCCCUUCUAUGGUUGACCUCGGAUCAGGUAGGGAUACCCGCUGAACUUAAGCAUAUCAAUAAGCGGAGGAAAAGAAACCAACAGGGAUUGCCUCAGUAACGGCGAGUGAAGCGGCAACAGCUCAAAUUUGAAAUCUGGCCCUCUCAGGGUCCGAGUUGUAAUUUGGAGAAGAUGCUUCGGGUGCGGCGCCGGUCUAAGUUCCUUGGAACAGGACGUCACAGAGGGUGAGAAUCCCGUACGUGCCCGGUGGCCGCCCUAUGUGAAGCUCUUUCGACGAGUCGAGUUGUUUGGGAAUGCAGCUCAAAUGGGUGGUAAAUUUCAUCUAAAGCUAAAUACUGGCCAGAGACCGAUAGCGCACAAGUAGAGUGAUCGAAAGAUGAAAAGCACUUUGGAAAGAGAGUUAAACAGUACGUGAAAUUGUUGAAAGGGAAGCGCUUGCAACCAGACUUGCGCGCGGUCGAUCAUCCGGUGCUCGCAACCGGUGCACUCGGCCGCGCGCAGGCCAGCAUCGGCCCGGGUGGCUGGACAAAGGCCUCGGGAAUGUGGCUCCCUCCGGGGAGUGUUAUAGACCCGAGGCGCAAUGCAGCCCA